rnacentral:rRNA from 1 species
GUAUGUAAUUAUAUCAACGCUAACGCAGUAGAUCACAUUAGAACUCUAAGUGUGUUUACACGAGAAUAAUAAUAAGAUGGGUGAUUCGUGAAAAGUCUUUGUAUUGCAUUCC